rnacentral:lncRNA from 1 species
UCCUCAUGCUCAGGGACCCUGGCUUGGACAAGAGAGACAAGAAGAAGAGGUCCCGCAGCACCUGGGAUGUGGAAUCCCUGGAGGAGUCACAGGGCCCAGGCCGCUUCAUGAGCCCCCAAAACGAAAACCACAUGCAGCCGUGAUUUCCCUAUUUCUCCUGAUUUCCCUCUUUCUCCUGAUUCCAACUGCAUCUUUAUAUCUAAAAAUAUUUUGGCUUACCACACGGGGAGCUAAAAAAGCAACUCUUACCUGAUAUGUACUCAGAGGUGCUCUGGGUUUUAAACUGUCCAUCACACAAGCCAAACCAGGCUCCACAAAACAGGAACAAUGAACCUAAGUAGUUCCAUUGUUUUGUGCUCAAAAACAUGGGGUGCUAUAUCCCGAGUUCUGAAGCAACUGAAAUCUAUGUUGUCACUUGCAAUACUAGUGAGAGGAUGACUGGAGUAAGCUAUUUUGUUCUGCAGCAGAAGACUCUUGUGAUCAAAUUGAUACCUUAGGUAAACUGUUGGAGUUAUUUUCAAACCUUCAUAAAAGCAUGGCCAGUUAAGGUUGUGUCCAGAUUCAAAUAGAGUUUGUACCAGGUCAAAAAGAGUCUCGUACUCUUUAUUUGGUUGUAGAGAAGAGAAAAUUAAGUUUCUUUACCUAUGACUUCUCUCAUGUUUCUCUGGAGGGCUCUCUUAGAGACUAUUUCAACAAAUAUGACAUUUUCCCUUCCUUUGGCUGCGGUUGUGAGAGCCUGGAUGAAACCAACUGGCUCUGGAAUGUUCCUGUAUCAAUAUUUGCCAGUAGUCAAAUCUUCACAAGCUGUUUUUCCUGUUGUUAUUGAAAUCAGCUCCAUUUCUGGCUCCAUCCUCCCCAGAUUCCCAAUGCUCUCUUUAAUGUCUUUGCACACUGGAUCCAUCAUAUAAUUGUGAUUAGCAGCUGGAACUGACAGAAUAUAUGAAAAU